rnacentral:rRNA from 1 species
UACGAAGGGGGCUAGCGUUGUUCGGAAUUACUGGGCGUAAAGCGCGCGCAGGCGGCUAUCCAAGUCAGUGGUGAAAGCCCGGAGCUCAACUCCGGAACUACCAUUGAAACUGUUUAGCUUGAGGACGAGAGAGGUGAGUGGAAUUCCCAGUGUAGAGGUGAAAUUCGUAGAUAUUGGGAAGAACACCGGUGGCGAAGGCGGCUCACUGGCUCGUAUCUGACGCUCAGGCGCGACAGCGUGGGGAGCAAACAGG